UACGUAGGUGGCAAGCGUUAUCCGGAAUUAUUGGGCGUAAAGCGCGCGCAGGCGGUUUCUUAAGCCUGAUGUGAAAGCCCACGGCUCAACCGUGGAGGGUCAUUGGAAACUGGGGAACUUGAGUGCAGAAGAGAAAAGCGGAAUUCCACGUGUAGCGGUGAAAUGCGUAGAGAUGUGGAGGAACACCAGUGGCGAAGGCGGCUUUUUGGUCUGUAACUGACGCCGAGGCGCGAAAGCGUGGGGAGCAAACAGG
rnacentral:rRNA from 1 species